rnacentral:rRNA from 1 species
UGAACGCUAGCGGCAGGCUUAACACAUGCAAGUCGAGGGGUAGAGUAGCAAUACUUGAGACCGGCGCACGGGUGCGUAACGCGUAUGCAAUCUACCUUUUACAGAGGGAUAGCCCAGAGAAAUUUGGAUUAAUACCUCAUAGUAUUGUGAAGUGGCAUCACUUUAUAAUUAAAGUCACAACGGUAAAAGAUGAGCAUGCGUCCCAUUAGCUAGUUGGUAAGGUAACGGCUUACCAAGGCUACGAUGGGUAGGGGUCCUGAGAGGGAGAUCCCCCACACUGGUACUGAGACACGGACCAGACUCCUACGGGAGGCAGCAGUGAGGAAUAUUGGACAAUGGGCGCAAGCCUGAUCCAGCCAUGCCGCGUGCAGGAUGACGGUCCUAUGGAUUGUAAACUGCUUUUAUACGAGAAGAAACACUACUUCGUGAAGUAGCUUGACGGUAUCGUAAGAAUAAGGAUCGGCUAACUCCGUGCCAGCAGCCGCGGUAAUACGGAGGAUCCAAGCGUUAUCCGGAAUCAUUGGGUUUAAAGGGUCCGUAGGCGGUUUAGUAAGUCAGUGGUGAAAGCCCAUCGCUCAACGGUGGAACGGCCAUUGAUACUGCUGAACUUGAAUUAUUA